ACGGAAGGCAGCAGUGGGGAAUAUUGCACAAUGGGGGAAACCCUGAUGCAGCGACGCCGCGUGAGUGAAGAAGUUAUUCGUAAUGUAAAGCUCUAUCAGCAGGGAAGAAAAUGACGGUACCUGACUAAGAAGCCCCGGCUAACUACGUGCCAGCAGCCGCGGUAAUACGUAGGGGGCAAGCGUUAUCCGGAUUUACUGGGUGUAAAGGGAGUGUAGACGGUCUAGCAAGUCUGAUGUGAAAGGCAGGGGCUCAACUCCUGGACUGCAUUGGAAACUGUUAGUCUUGAGUGUCGGAGAGGUAAGCGGAAUUCCUAGUGUAGCGGUGAAAUGCGUAGAUAUUAGGAGGAACACCAGUGGCGAAGGCGGCUUACUGGACGAUAACUGACGUUGAGGCUCGAAAGCGUGGGGAGCAAACAGGAUUAGAUACCCUGGUA
rnacentral:rRNA from 1 species